CUCAUUUUUUCAACUAAACUCAUAGACCUCUUUUAACACCUAAACCAAGUAAACCCUCAAAAUCUGCACUCAGUGUAUUCCAUGCCUCGUAGAACAAAUUGCCUCAAACAGUCUAUCAUCACUUGACACCAUGGAAGACCGAGUUCGAGACGACUGUACAUCUAAAUGUUGAAAAUAAUGAUGUCGAAAAAUCCACAGACACCAAUCUGACAGGCAAUAAAAAGUGACAAACUCAUCGAAUCACAUUCAAUUCUUCGGUGCUAAAAGAACAGAUCAAAUAGGCGUUCAUUCCGGUUCAUCCAUGCGUUCAAACGUUAUUUGUCCUCCCUCCUAACUGGGAUCUUUUUUGUUUCGAGCCUUUCAGAUCCGAGCUCAUGCAGCAAAGAGUACACAUAUUGUCCCAUGAGUCUGUAUGCCAAUCCAAUAGUACAGCGUAGACAGUAUAAAAAUUACGUCGGUACAAUUCGGUAUCCUUUGUACAAGCCUGCCUCUUCAACUUCAAACGCUACCAAACGAAAAAAAACCUUUUCACGUCUCUGUUUCUAGACGUCUGUGAAGCUAGACGAAUUUGCGUACAAUGGUUGCACGUUUUGGCCGUCCAAGUUACGAGACUAAUUCGUCAGGGUGCACCGCCGAGUCCUUACACGUCUCAGAGAUGGAUAUUUUUGCGAUGUCCACAAUUUGACAUGGCAUUCUUAGUAUAGAAGGAUAGAGUACUUUCUAGCUGAUUGCAACGUGAACAGAAAUGGGAAGAUAACAAAAAAUUUUCUGCUCUAUAAAUGAUGUUACAUAUGUUGUCAUGGCUUUUUGACAACUUGCUAAUUACUGUUUUUUACUCUGACCAGAGAUAUAGCAGAGGUAUAGCAAUAUUUUUAAUCCAUUUUCAGCGCAUCUGAAGCUCUCUCCUGGUACAGAAACUUAGAGAAGCUCUGAUUAUGUGAAAACAGGAAGAGACAACUGACCGAUUUGAUAUGCUUCAACUUACACGCAGUUAACGCAUGCCUACUUAGACACCAACAACACCAUCAGCACAUUCGGCAUCUAAAAACAAGUUACACUGGUUUGAACUUUGAAUUGGCCAAUUUAUGCAUUCCCCUUGUAGAACUUGAUCUUCGAGCAGCCUUUUAUUCCUCCUGAUGAAUUUAGCUCUUCAUUUUUGACCUCUCUCUAGACGCGCUCUAAAAUUGAAUAUAUCCAGACGCUUUAUCCUAUGCAAAACGGUCUCCUCAUUGCGUCACAUAAUCGUAUGGUCAAUCAGCAAUAGACUCUCAUUUCGAGUUCACUCCCCGAAUUCUGGUAUGCAGGUUUGAACCUAUUCAAGACAAAAGGUCACGAAUAUUUCUAUUCAAAAAAAGAUUGACCAAAAAUCACCACCGAUUGAAAAUUCUAAAUCAGAGUUUUCAGCUCAGAUAAGCAGAUUAAAGAACAGAAUACAAGCCUGGCAAUGUAUGCCGUAACGCAGACAGUCUAGCUGCGAAUAGAAUUCGAAGGCGAAUAUGAAUUUACACUAUUUUCUUGAAAUUUUAGAUAAACGGUUACGCGAAACCGAGUAGUUGUCCUCAUACUUGAUUUUCACGUAAUUCCUUUCCAUUUCAUUUUACACUAUUUCCAACUGAGAAGAGAUUGCGAACUGCAGUUGUUCAGGUGUCUCACUAGUAUUUUAAAGAUAGCCUCUACCUACCCUUAGACACCAAUCAAAAAGUGAACAUCUCGCUUGUUUGAACAAGGUUGAAACAGAUUUAACAGCAGCCUACAACAGUUUUACUGGACUUCUAGUCGUACCGAGAGCACCAGGAGCCAGCGUAAAAUAAAAAAUUGUUUGCUACGAAUUAAUUAUGGAAGUUAAUUCUGUGUUAGUUAAUAGUGAUUUUAUUAGCUCGGACUACACCUCCAAUAUAAUGAAUCAUCUAUCGCCGUUGUCGAACAUAAAACAGCAAAACGACGACGCUACCAAAUACAGAUAUGAUAGAAUGUAUAAUUUUAGAGGGGAUGGUGCAAUUAUGGUUCCAAAUUAUGGACAAGUUAUAUACGAAGAAAACGGCACCAAUCCUGGAUACAAACCGAGCUGCGAAAAUAUGAACCUAUGUCAAGAAAACAUGCAGCACUCAAUCCAGCAUCAGGUGAAUGUGAAUUCCAAUAUGAAUUGUGCAUGUUUUUUGAACCCAAUGCUUGAUCCACGUAUGGUCGUUAACGAUACAGAUGGUGUACCCCAAGUCGAUAUAGAUACGUAUAGUGACUCCAAUACUUCGAAUUUUGGAGGCAGCAUGCAGCAGAAUCCAGGCGACAGGUAUUCGUUAAGUACCGACAACGACAUCAUACAAAAAGGGAAUAUUACGCAAAAAAAUCAAGUUCUAAAUUCCAAUUAUUUGAUUUAUUCUAUAGCGUCUGAAGCCGACCUCAAUGAUAGCACCUGCAGGACAAACAGUGGUCUAGAUCUGGGGGACAACUGCAAUGCCAAUGUUCCAGAAAUGGGCGGAGAUGUUGCCGAUUCCGGAGGUGGCAUCCUUAGUACUCGAAAUAAUUUUACCGGCACUGAUAAUAACGGUAACAGUAUAGGCAAUAGUUCCAACAAUAUUUUAGGAGGUGACAUGAAGGCGAUAAACGGAAUGGUACUCAAAAGCAAAAACCUGAAUACGCCAGAUGCGGAAGGCUAUAAUAGCAUGAUCAAGGGAGGUUUCGUAAAUCCAAUGAUUGAAGGUAACAUGGCUAUGGCAAAGAGUGACAUGCACAAUGGUCAUUUGAUCCAUUUAAAUGGGAACGUUUAUCAUGAGAUCAACCAACAACAUCAGGAUUCAGAAAUGAAGUCUAAUAGUGACAGCGUUAUGGUAGGAUAUGAUGACAUGCUUUACAUGGAUCAUGAGGAAAAAAAUAAUUGUCACAUUCACUCUGAAAAUAAAAGUUUGUCAAUUCCUCCGUGCAUUCAUACAAGAAUUCGGCCAGAAUUCCACGAAAUAGGAGACAAAGCUAUUGAACUGAUUGUAGGUCCAGCUAAACAUCAGGUCAAAGAAUUUAACAUUUUACCUCUCAAUGUUUUGCGUAUUUCAUACAAUGCAAAAAAUUCGGACUACAUCAUUGUGAAAUUGAUUUGUGACAAGCAAAUCAGGAGGCAUGACCCCACGUGCAUAUUUUUAGCUGGUGUCUCUGCAAAAUAUAGCGUAUCUGAAACUGGAGAGAGCAUUUUACCCAAUAUGAAAAUUAGCAAGGAUAUGCUUCAAGGAAGAACCAAGGGUUUCAAGUUUUACCUGAGUUACACACUUAUUAUGGAUGGUAGAGAAGCAAUGACUAUUAGAAGUGAGCCUUUCCAAAUAUGGUCAAAUGUCAAUCAGUUAGGGUUUCCAAGAAAACAGCGCGAGCGGCAUAUACAAGAGCGAAAAGAUACAAAUAGGAAGAAACGUAAGAUGUCGUCUUGACUGGGACCCUACAAGUAUGGCUUUUGACACCGAUAGAUAAGCAUGGCAUCGCGCAGAUAAAACUGCUGUUUAAAGUUUGUGUAUUAUAUGCAUGUUAGUGUAUUUUUUGAUCCAAUAGACAUGCGACAAGCUCAGACGUCGUCUCGACGGGCCACGUUUUUUACAUUUUUUUCUUGUUGACAAGACGGAAGUAGAUAGGAGACAUAAGUCAUGACGGAUCGCAUCUGUAAGAGGGUUUAAAUUGUCGGGUGAGGGAUUACUGACUUGUUUGACUGUGAAUGGAUUGAUGGCUCGGUGUUAGAAGACGGGUUAGAGAUGAGGCCGUUAAGGCGCGGUGAUUUUGAUAGAGAAUGCGUUUGAGUCUAGAUUUGAAGAGUUGAGGAUGGCCGAGGGAAUGUAUUACAUUGUUGUGAUAGAGGAUAGACGGCAUUCUAGAGUGGUGGCGACGGCUACGUUGGUGGUUGAAAAGAAAUUUAUUCAUGAGGCAGGAAAGGUAGGACAUAUAGAAGAUGUUGUGGUUGACAGUCAAUAUCGUAACAGAGGCUUAGCCAGGGCGUUGGUGAGCUGUCUGUAUGAGAUAAGCAAGAGAUCAGGGUGCUACAAGGUGGUCUUGUAUUGCAAGGAGGAUAACGUUCAUGUUUAUCAGAGAUUAGGAUUUGAGGUAGGUCUGAUUCACAUGGAAAAGAGAGACAAGGGGGCAGGAAACAAGUGAGGUUGGGGGCGUGCGCUCUGAUGAGUGUCAAGAUGCAUAAAAAACAGUGCCUUCUGGGA